rnacentral:tRNA from 1 species
GAGGUACAGCUCAGUGACAAAGCUCUUGCCUGGCAUGCACAAGGCCCUGGUUCAAUCCCAGGGACUGCA